GGCCCACCUGAUCUGAAUGGGGCUCCUUUGUUGGCAGCUAUACGUUUGGGUCAAAAGAGGCAGCAGCAGAUCGAGCAGUUAGGAUGCUUCCAGAAUGUCUAGCAGGUAGUGGAGGGCAAUCGGUAUUAGGUGUAGCCGAUUGGAAGGAAUGCAGGUUCCGGAGGUGAUGAUCCAAGCGACUUGAUGUGGUAACACGUGGAGUAGCAAGUGAGGUGGAAGCAGUAACAAUAAAAAUGCAGCAAAAGCAGAAGCAGAGGAUAAGCAGAAGGUACAGGAAGGCCUAAAAAUGGGGACCACACAUGAGGUUCGACAUGGCUGUCAAUUUUAUGGCAUUUUUGUGUGGAUCGGGUAUGUUAGGAGGGACCAUCUUAACGGUAUCAUAUCUGUGUAGUAUGUAUAUUUAUGUAUGAUUUUUAAAUAAAUUAUUUUAUGAAACUA
rnacentral:lncRNA from 1 species